GUCCAGACUCCUACGGGAGGCAGCAGUGGGGAAUAUUGGGCAAUGGAGGAAACUCUUACCCAGCAAUGCCGCGUGAAUGAAGAAGGUCUUCGGAUUGUAAAGUUCUUUAAUUGGGGACGAAAAAAAUGACGGUACCCAAGGAAUAAGCCCCGGCUAACUACGUGCCAGCAGCCGCGGUAAUACGUAGGGGGCAAGCGUUGUUCGGAAUGACUGGGCGUAAAGGGUGCGUAGGCGGUGUAGCAAGUUAGAAGUGAAAUACCUAGGGCUUAACUCAGGUGCUGCUUCUAAAACUGCUAUACUUGAGUGCAGUAGAGGAAAGUGGAAUUCCUAGUGUAGCGGUGAAAUGCGUAGAUAUCAGGAGGAACACCGGUGGCGAAGGCGGCCUGCUGGACUGCGACUGACGUUGAGGCCCGAAAGCGUGGGGAGCAAACAGGAUUAGAUACCCCCGUAG
rnacentral:rRNA from 1 species